GACGAACGCUGGCGGCGUGCUUAACACAUGCAAGUCGAACGGAAAGGCCCUGCUUUUGUGGGUUGCUCGAGUGGCGAACGGGUGAGUAACACGUGAGUAACCUGCCCUUGACUUUGGGAUAACUUCAGGAAACUGGGGCUAAUACCGGAUAGGAGCUCCUGCUGCAUGGUGGGGGUUGGAAAGUUUCGGCGGUUGGGGAUGGACUCGCGGCUUAUCAGCUUGUUGGUGGGGUAGUGGCUUACCAAGGCUUUGACGGGUAGCCGGCCUGAGAGGGUGACCGGCCACAUUGGGACUGAGAUACGGCCCAGACUCCUACGGGAGGCAGCAGUGGGGAAUAUUGCACAAUGGGAGGAAGCCUGAUGCAGCAACGCCGCGUGCGGGAUGACGGCCUUCGGGUUGUAAACCGCUUUCGCCUGUGACGAAGCGUGAGUGACGGUAAUGGGUAAAGAAGCACCGGCUAACUACGUG
rnacentral:rRNA from 1 species